UUAGACAAUUGUAACUUUUCCCCCCACUGCUCUCACUUCUGAUAGACUUGCCCUGAGUUCCCUCUGUGGACAAAUAACUUGCCUUCCCCAUGCUGCUAAAAGAUGGUUCUGCAUAGAAGAGCAAAACAGAGGUCUUUUCAGUUGGGAGAGUGACGAUGGGCUAGGUACAGUAGCAGGGAUGGAAAGUAACUGCAUCCGAUUCCCCAGGGUAUUCGCACAGACUUUGACUCUUAAGGCACCAGUGUAUUCCAUUUCAUUAAGGUGCUGCCUGCAGCUGGAUACUGUGGCUUAAUAGAGAGCUACAAGAAGAGCUGUCUGGAGACCUGAGCAGCUUGUUGGGCUGGAUUUAUGGCUGUGGGCAGGCGUGUGGUUUUUGGAAGCAAUGAGCCUAUUGUGCUGUCUAAUAUCUUCCCUAGCUUGUGUUCAGUCCCAGGUGCUAAUUAAUUGAGGGCAGGUGCCUGUAAUUGCAGGUUCCCUUGCCUCUCGUAUGCUUCUCUCUGCUUAUUAAGGACACUUAAAAACUCUUGCACUGGAGGUUUGCUCAGUGACUUGUUGCUGUGUUAUUUCCUGAAGCAAAAGAUUUCUGACUGAAUAAAAUAGUAGCACCCUUCCUUUUAAAAGAGCAAAUGACAGUGCUAAGGAUGGUCCAUUUCUGAAAGAACAGACAAUAUGUUGAAUGUUGCUAUGCAGAUUGCCACACCUCUGAGAAGUCAUUUAAAGAGCUUGAGAACAGCUUUGAACACACAUUAUUUGCAUGGUUGACUUGUAUUCAUCCUGCUCCCUAAUACUUAUACUAGCUUUUUAUCCAGGUUGCUGAAAUAUUUGUGCUAUAUUUUUCCCAUAUCUGUAAUCUCCAAAGCUGUGGAGUAAGUCACGCUGCACAUAAUGCUGAAUUAGUUCAUACCUCCCUGCAGAUGGAUGGUCCAGAUUUGGCUUUAUUAAGUGUCUAGCAAGACUGGGAAUCGACUGCCUUGUUAAUUGUGAUGAGUCUUUCAUCUUCUUUAUUUUGUGUACUCGCUACAUAGAAUUGAAAUAUUCAAUACCCCGGAAAUUAGUCUAUAUGCAGAUUCCCUUUCAACAGCUGUAAAUUAAAAGCAAUGAGCAGCUGAGUAUACAGAGAAUCCAUUAAAGGCAAAUAAUGUUUAAAACAUAACUAGACCCUGUCAAGUUAGACAGGCUCUGCAACUGAUCUGUUGGUUGAUGCAGACUGUUCUAGACAAAGACUUAUAGUUCCAUGACUUUAAGCUUUUUAGUAUAGUGAUUCAGUCCUUAUAUGGUUGUACAGUAACAAGCACAUUGUUUCUGCUCAAAAAAUAAUAUCCACGAGUCUACAGUGCAUUAUUUCUACUCAGUAAAUAAUAAUAUACCCAUGCUAUGUUAUUGGGCUUUUUAAUGGGAGCCUCCAUUUGUCUCGUCUAGAGGGAAUGUGCCUGUUUUACUAAGAACUGGGCAGAAGGACUUUUCCCAAGAAAUCUAGAAAUAUCUGGAAUCUGACAAAUGUUGAUAUCCAAGCAGUUGUACAGAAUAAGAUCAACAGGACUUUCACUAGUGGCAGGCCUUGUCUAGUUAAGGUGAAAGCCUCCCUUGAAAUGGCUCCUUCUCUCAGUCUUGGAGAACUGAGACACCCCAAUUUAAAGACACCCAGUUAUUCAAACAGCCACUGUUAAGAACAUAAGAACGGCCAUACUGGGUUAGCCAAUGGUCCAGUAUCCUGUCUUCCGACAGUGGCCAAUGCCAGGUGCUUCAGAGGGCAUGAACAGAACAGGUAAUCAGCAAGUGAUCCAUGCCGUUGCCCAUUCCCAGCUUCUGCCAUACGGAGGCUAGGGACAUCAUCCCUGUUGGGUUUGAUUUCCAGUUUGCUGUGCAGCAAAAUGAUCAGAUCAGAAAAACUUUUAAAGCCUUACAGGAUCUAGAGCUUUUUCCAGCAGUGGAAGCCAAAGCUGUUAGAUUUGUUUAUAGUGAAAUCAAGUAUUGGACAGUAGGGAGCUAUUAGGAUCACUAAACUCAUGUCUUUUCUUAAGAGAACUGCCAAUGGAGGCAAUGAAGUGAAGGAAGAGUCUAACCAUUUCCUUCACUGGAGAGAAAAUGAACCUGCCAGCAUCCUAUUGCUUUCUCCUGUGUAUGUGGUCUGACAGUUUCAGACUGAUUGAGUUGUGGAUCUAUUGUAGAUUAUUGCCUAACUGAACUUUGAAUAAUGGAAAGGAUCAGGCUACCGUUGAAGAGGAGAAAGGGGCAUUCUGCCCAAUAUCAGUCAUCACAAUACUAUAAUUUGCAACCAGCAGCACCGGUUCAGUCUGUUCCCUGCUGCUUUCCACCUGAAGGAGCGAGAUGCAAAUAAUCUUUUCUGCAAAAUGAGAAGGAAAGGAGUUAAGGAUGGUGUUUGAGAGUAGGACGCUAGCAAAUUCUGUUCUAUAGCCAGGGCCUUUCCCUUCACAUUGCAGCCCUGACUCAAAGGAACUAUUGCACUGACUAGCCUUGGUGAAGAAGGGGGCACUGGCAUUUCCAGGGCCACAGGCACUCAUGUACAGAUACCAUUGUCAUCUGCAAGGACAGAACCCAGGGCGAGCCUCUAGCACUUAAAAUGAGAGGUAUGUGCACAAUCGUCAUAGGAGCUGAAGCCACCUUCAGUGCUAUCAGCAUCUAAAGCUUUGUCCCAUAGUGGCAAAAGAGAAGAGGGUCCCAGAGCAUAGCCUUGGAUUUUUAAUGAAUUACUGGAAAUCACUAUCCUGUCAUUUGGAAACAUUCUACCUUCUAUCACCUCAAAACCAAGCCAACCUAAUUGCAGCAUAUAUGGAAACUCAGGAUUAGAGAAGAGCUAUCUUGUCAAUUAUAAAGCGGGUAUUAAUGCUACUAGGAGCUAUGUUCCCUAGAUCAUUUCUUCUUUAUAGGACUGUCUAAUGCAAUUGUAUCUUUCUUAAUAUGAAAUUAAUAACAGCACUAAAACAAGAAACUUUAAAGCUUAAUAGUUGGGGUGAGGAAAGAAUGGAGAAAACGUAUCUGCUCUGUCGUAGGUACCAGCAGCUCCAUUGGGUCCACAAGUGAAUAAGAAGCACUGAAAGUGGAAGAUGUGUCCGCCUAUCCUGGGGCAUGUUUGGCAUGUGUGAGGAGGUCUCAGCAAAUCCCCGCCCCCCAAACAAAAUAAACCGUGAAAGCAAUUCUUGGAGAGCUCAGCAUCUGUUGGCAUCGGGUCACUGAAAUGAGGCCGCAGACGGCACUCCCGCUGGGCCUUGAUACAGUCCGCAGUCUCCUGGGCGAGGUCAGAGCUGGAUCUGCGGCAGCUCAGGCUGGAAUUCUGCAACAA